UAAGGAUAGAAAGAACUCUGGAGGUUCCAAUAAACCCCGCUGAUCAUGGUUUGUAUAAAGGAUAGAAAGAACUCUGGAGGUUCCAAUAAACCCCGCUGAUCAUGGUUUGUAUAAAGGAUAGAAAGAACUCUGGAGGUUCCAAUAAACCCUGCUGAUCAUGGUUUGUAUAAAGGAUAGAAAGAACUCUGGAGGUUCCAAUAAACCCCGCUGAUCAUGGUUUGUAUAAAGGAUAGAAAGAACUCUGGAGGUUCCAAUAAAUGGAUGGAUGGAUUAUUGUAGUUCCAUCAGAGUGACAGGGGGCCUCAAGUGUUGCAGGUCGGCAGAGAUCUCAGAUCUAGACAAAUGACCAUAGAAAUCCCAGAGUUUUGAAUGGAUUAAUAACGGGUCACUGUAUGGUACCAUCCAUUGAUUUAAUGGAUGUUAUAUUUGAAAUGUUUUUUUUUUUUUGUGUCGGCUAAAUAGAUAAUUUAUUGAGCUAAUAAUAGAUUGGCUUGGAUGAGCCCUAUGAAAAUGUUAAAAAGAAACAUGCUAUAUGAAUGAGAGUUUCUGCCCGGGCAGAAUGACAUGAUAAAUUAAUUUAAUUUUCUGAUAAUCUGCCGAUCAAGGAUAGCUUGUGGAGAGACGUUUCAAGUUGUCAUAAUUUGUCUUCUUAUUCUGUAGUGUUGUGUUGGUUGAUUGGUUUAAAUUGGAAGACAACGAGGUAGAGUGUGGCCUAAUAAAGCCUUUGACCUUUGUCCCACAGUCCUCCAGAAUCAUCAUCAGUGUUACCACAGUCCUCCAUCAACACAACGCCAUAGAUAACAUUACACAGGUGCACCUUGUGUUGGGGACAAUAAAAGGCCACUCUAAAAUGCCACAGAUGUCUCAAUGCCACAGAGCGCAAUUGGCAUGCUGACUGCAGAAAUAUCGACCAGCUGUUGCCAGAUAAUUUAAUGUUAAUUUCUCUAUCAUAAGCCGCCUCCAACAUCGUUUUAGACAAUUUGGCAGUACAUCCAAUCUGCCUCACAACCGCAUACCAUGUGUAACCAACAAGCCCAAGACCUCCACAUCUGGCUUAAUCACCUGCGGCCUGAGACGAACCACCCAGACAAGCUGAUGAAACUGUGGGUUUGCACAACUGAAGAAUUUCGGUAAAAACUGUCACAAAACCUUCCCAGGGAAGCUCAUCUGCGUGCUAAUGCUCACCUUCGAUGGCCCCUGGCAUGCUGGAGAAGUGUGAUCCGGGCAGAUGGCAGACAGCGUUGUAUGGCGUUGUGUGGGUGCGCGGUUUGCUGAUAUCAAUGUUGUGAACAAUGUGCACCAUGGUGGCGGUGGGGUUAUGUUAUGGGCAGGCAUAAGCUACACACGACAUGGGAUGCUCUGGAUCUUGUGAAAUCCACACAUUAGGGUCUGCAUUUAUUUGACAAGAUAAAAUGCUAUUUCAAAGUAAACUAAUUGGACAUUCAACAAGCACAGCACUUACACAAAUGACUGAUGACUGGCUGAGAGAAGCUGAUGAUAAAAAUAUUGUGGGGGAUGUUUUUCUAGACUUCAAUGUGGCUUUUGACAUUAUCGACCAUAGUCUGCUGCUGGAAAAACAUAUGUGUUAUGGCUUUACACCCCUUGCUAUAUUGUGGAUAAAGAGUUACCUGUCUAACAGAACACAGAGGGUGUUCUUUAAUGGAAGCCUCUCCAACAUAAUCCAGGUAGAAUCAGGAAUUCCCCAGGGUAGCUGUCUAGGCCCCUCACUUUUUUUAAACCCUUACUAAUGACAUGCCACUGGCUUUGAGUAAAGCCAGUGUGUCUAUGUAGGUGGAUGACUCAACACUAUACACGUCAGCCACUACAGCGACUGAAAUGACUGCAACACUUAAAUAUCCGCAGUUAGUUUCAGAAUGGGUGGCAAGGAAUAAGUUAGUUCUAAAUAUUUCAAAAACUAAAAGCAUGGUAUUUGGGACAAAUCAUUCACUAAACCCUAAGCCUCAACUAAAUAUUUUAAUAAAUAAUGUGAAAAUUGAGCAGGUUGAGGUGACUAAACUUGUAAACUGUCAUGGUCAAACCAUAUUGAUGCAGUAGUAGCUAAGAUGGGGAGAAGUCUGUCUAUAAUAAAGCGAUGCUCUACCUUCUUAACAACACUAUCAACAAGGCAGGUCCUACAGGCUCUAGUUUCUACCUUCUUAACAACACUAUCAACAAGGCAGGUCCUACAGGCCCUAGUUUCUACCUUCUUAACAGCACUACCAACAAGGCAGGUCCUACAGGCCCUAGUUUCUACCUUCUUAACAGCACUAUCAACAAGGCAGGUCCUACAGGCCCUAGUUUCUACCUUCUUAACAGCACUACCAACAAGGCAGGUCCUACAGGCCCUCGUUUCUACCUUCUUAACAACACUAUCAACAAGGCAGGUCCUACAGGCUCUAGUUUCUACCUUCUUAACAACACUAUCAACAAGGCAGGUCCUACAGGCCCUAGUUUCUACCUUCUUAACAGCACUACCAACAAGGCAGGUCCUACAGGCCCUAGUUUCUACCUUCUUAACAGCACUAUCAACAAGGCAGGUCCUACAGGCCCUAGUUUCUACCUUCUUAACAGCACUACCAACAAGGCAGGUCCUACAGGCCCUCGUUUCUACCUUCUUAACAACACUAUCAACAAGGCAGGUCCUACAGGCCCUAGUUUCUACCUUCUUAACAACACUAUCAACAAGGCAGGUCCUACAGGCCCUAGUUUCUACCUUCUUAACAACACUAUCAACAAGGCAGGUCCUACAGGCCCUAGUUUGUCACACCUGGACUACUGUUCAGUUGUGUGGUAAGGUGCCACAAAGAGGGACUAAUAUUAUAUUGUACUAUAUAUUAUAAUAUUAGACUAAUACUAUACGGCUAAAUGACUGUCAAAGGUAUUGAUAUAAUUGUACUAAGUAACUAAUGAGAUCAUAGAUUGUUAAUUUUGGGCAGAGCUGCCUGAGGUGCCCCACCUGGAAAUAAACUAACUAGGGGAAACACUGGCUAGAUAGUACGACAUAAAUUAGGUUUUACGAUAAAAUGAUAGAUAAGAACGAAAAAGGUUUGUUUACUAACAUGGACACAGUAACCUCGAAACAAAUCUAUGGGAAACACUAGCUAGUACAGUAUGGAAAAGAGGUUUUAACUAGAGCAAACACUAGCUAGUACAGUAUGGAAAAGAGGUUUUAACUAGAGCAAACACUAGCUAGUACAGUAUGGAAAAGAGGUUUUAACUAGAGCAAACACUAGCUAGUACAGUAUGGAAAAGAGGUUUUAACUAGAGCAAACACUAGCUAGUACAGUAUGGAAAAGAGGUUUUAACUAGAGCAAACACUAGCUAGUACAGUAUGGAAAAGAGGUUUUAACUAGAGCAAACACUAGCUAGUACAGUAUGGAAAAGAGGUUUUAACUAGAGCAAACACUAGCUAGUACAGUAUGGAAAAGAGGUUUUAACUAGAGCAAACACUAGCUAGUACAGUAUGGAAAAGAGGUUUUAACUAGAGCAAACACUAGCUAGUACAGUAUGGAAAAGAGGUUUUAACUAGAGCAAACACUAGCUAGUACAGUAUGGAAAAGAGGUUUUAACUAGAGCAAACACUAGCUAGUACAGUAUGGAAAAGAGGUUUUAACUAGAGCAAACACUAGCUAGUACAGUAUGGAAAAGAGGUUUUAACUAGAGCAAACACUAGCUAGUACAGUAUGGAAAAGAGGUUUUAACUAGAGCAAACACUAGCUAGUACAGUAUGGAAAAGAGGUUUUAACUAGAGCAAACACUAGCUAGUACAGUAUGGAAAAGAGGUUUUAACUAGAGCAAACACUAGCUAGUACAGUAUGGAAAAGAGGUUUUAACUAGAGCAAACACUAGCUAGUACAGUAUGGAAA